GUUAGGUUUUAUUCUGCCGUCAGACAUUUAGCUUGAUGGCCGCAGUAUCGUCCGUGUUUGAUGAAAUCGAGCCCACUGAUAUCGCAAAAUCAUGUGGUGUUGAAUAAACAUCGUUGACUGCUUAUAGGAUUUCGGAGGACGAUCUCAUCUCAGAUAUAUGGCAGGUAAUGAAACCGAGUCAUGCCAUUUUAUGUGAACGAUGAGAGCUUUGGUGCUGAGACCACAAACUCAUAGGAAGUUGCAAUGUGAAUGUAACACAUUGAAAUUUACAAGGUGGUCAGAGUCAGAAAAUCACAAGUCAAACAUGGGACUUAUCUUAAGCCCAAAUCGAUGCUCAAAAAGAAGUGUUCAAGAUAUCAAGAUCUAAACAAAGAUAUAUGAGAUCCACCACGUUUUAUUAGCGUAUCAUUCAAAAUUCAAUCCUUUGCUUCGGCGUCCAAUGCGACAUUGCAUAGAUUAUGAUCAUGCAUAUAUAGAUAGAAAUUGGUGCACAUAAUUGGGAAAUUUAGAGCCACUUGUCUUUCAAGGAGAUGGACUGAUCUCAAAGUUCAAAUGGUGGUGAGAUUUCCAUGUUUUCCUCCAGCUCAUAGAUAGAAGACUACUUUGAACAACAGAUCUAGUAUUUUUAUGAAUGAACAAAUGUAGCUAAUAUAGCAGUGCUAGACUUUCCAAAUCUGGCCCCAGGGUCACCUUGGAUUGAGUUUUCUUUAUUAGAUUCUCAAGAGUUUUAUGUCCUUACUAGUAUCAUACAUUUUUUAGAUAAAAAUUGUUCCAUUGUCUGUUUCUUCUUAUGUAUCUCGAGGGAGAUUUUUUACAUGUAGAUGAUUUUGUUCUUUAAAAUGAUAUAAUGAUAUAAUGUACAUUUUAAUGUAAAUUGUACUAUGACUAAAAACUUUUCUA
rnacentral:lncRNA from 1 species